CCCCUGGUUCCUGUACGAUCACCCAAGUGAAGCAACGUCGAGCCUGCUCAGUAUUGAGAUGGGUGACCGCUUAUGAAUACUUGGUGUUGCAAU